AUAAACAAUCCAAUAAUCGAAAUCUCUCAUGAUUAAUACAUGAUUAAUUCAAAACAAGGUGAAUACAUAAGCAUUACAUUGGACAGAGUAAUCCGAAUACCAAAGGUUAAUUUAUUUCUUCAAACAAAU